rnacentral:lncRNA from 1 species
AUGGGAUUGCCCAACUUUUCCACAGGCGGCAGUAAACUCGUUUUACAGGUCGCCGUGUUGUUGUUGGCAUUCUCUAAGACUGUGUGCGAAGAACCCGAAAUGUUCACCAUAAAUGGCACGACAUGCUUUUACUGUAGCGAAGAUAUGUACCUAACACGAAUAUGCACCGCAACUUCAAGUACUCAGUGUGCGUACUGCUCCAAGUGCAAUGGAGAAGGCCAGAAAAUACUGGCCAAUUGCACCCGUGUGACUGACACCCAGUGUGGCUGUAAAGAUGGCUAUAGGACAUCAUCCAUUCACGGUUGUCAGAAAGUGACAACUACUCCACCAACAAUUAUGUCCACGCCAUCAACCAGAAACCACUUCCAAAGAGUAACCAUGUUGGGCGCUGUUCCAGUCUUCCUUGCCUUCAUCUUCAUCAUUUUGGCUAUAAGUGUGCUGUUUAUUGCACGCGCUUUCUUAAAACCAGCUGGAAAGAGAUGGCGGGAGAAUUCUACACCUAUCCUUGAACCUUGACAAGAGGACCAAGAACAACACUCUACUCUUCUUUACUCCUCUAGAUGGCUAUGAUUUAUCACCUAAAUUUCCCUCGGGAUUAAUAAAGUAUCCAUCUAUCUAUCUAUCA